GCUGGGCUUGGUGGCUCAUGCCUGUAAUCCCAGCACUUUGGGAGGCUGAGGUGGGUGGAUCACCUGAGGUCAGGAGUUCAAGACCAGCCUGGCCAACAUGGUGAUACUCCAUCUCUA
rnacentral:SRP_RNA from 1 species